UACGGAGGGUGCAAGCGUUAUCCGGAAUCACUGGGCGUAAAGGGUGCGUAGGCGGCCGAGUAAGUCAGCGGUGAAAUUUUGCAGCUUAACUGUAACAGUGCCGUUGAUACUGCAUGGCUAGGAUUUGGUUGCUGUGGGUGGAAUGUGUGGUGUAGCGGUGAAAUGCUUAGAUAUCACACAGAAUAUCAAUUGCGAAGGCAGCUCACAAAGCCAAGAUUGACGCUGAGGCACGAAAGUGUGGGGAU
rnacentral:rRNA from 1 species